GAUGAACGCCGGCGGCGUGCCUAAUACAUGCAAGUCGAGCGAACAGACGAGGGGCUUGCUCCUCUGACGUUAGCGGCGGACGGGUGAGUAACACGUGGAUAACCUACCUAUAAGACUGGGAUAACUUCGGGAAACCGGAGCUAAUACCGGAUAAUAUAUUGAACCGCAUGGUUCAAUAGUGAAAGACGGUUUUGCUGUCACUUAUAGAUGGAUCCGCGCCGCAUUAGCUAGUUGGUAAGGUAACGGCUUACCAAGGCAACGAUGCGUAGCCGACCCGGGAGGGUGAUCGGCCACACUGGAACUGAGACACGGUCCAGACUCCUACGGGAGGCAGCAGUAGGGAAUCUUCCGCAAUGGGCGAAAGCCUGACGGAGCAACGCCGCGUGAGUGGUGAAGGUCUUCGGAUCGUAAAACUCUGUUAUUAGGGAAGAACAAAUGUGUAUGUAACUAUGCACGUCUUGACGGUACCUAAUCAGAAAGCCACGGCUAACUACGUGCCAGCAGCCGCGGUAA
rnacentral:rRNA from 1 species